rnacentral:rRNA from 1 species
GAUGAACGCUGGCGGCGUGCUUAACACAUGCAAGUCGAACGGAAAGGCCAGUGCUUGCCCUGGUACUCGAGUGGCGAACGGGUGAGUAACACGUGGGUGAUCUGCCCUGCACUUCGGGAUAAGUCUGGGAAACUGGGUCUAAUACCGGAUAGGACAAUGGUUUGGAUGCUGUUGUGGAUAGUUUUUUCGGUGUGGGAUGAGCUCGCGGCGGAUCAGCUUGUUGGUGGGGUAAUGGCGUAUCAAAGCGUCGACGGGGAGCCGGCCGAAGAGGGGGUACGGCUACAUAGUGACAGUGAAACAGCGCAGACUCGUAUGCGGGGGGCGAGUGGGGGAUAUAGUACAAAAGGCGAGGGAGUGGUGCAGAGAGGCCGCGUGGGGGAUGAAGGCCUUCGGGUUGUAGACUCCGUUGGCUAGAGUAGAGAAGAAUUUGUGACGGUAACGGGAGAAGAAGCACCGGCUAACUACGUG